CCUACGGGAGGCAGCAGUUGGGAAUAUUGCACAAUGGGCGAAAGCCUGAUGCAGCAACGCCGCGUGCACGAUGAAGGCCUUCGGGUCGUAAAGUGCUUUUCUGCAGGACGAGGAAGGACGGUACUGUAGGAAUAAGGAUCGGCUAACUACGUGCCAGCAGCCGCGGUAAAACGUAGGAUCCGAGCGUUAUCCGAAUUCACUGGGCGUAAAGCGCUUGCAGGCGGCGAGAUAAGUUGGAUGUGAAAUCUCCUGGCUCAACUGGGAGAGGCCGUUCAAGACUGUCUGGCUAGAGGGCGAUAGAGGGAGGUGGAAUUCCCGGUGUAGUGGUGAAAUGCGUAGAGAUGUGGAGGAACACCAGUGGCGAAGGCGGCUCUCUGGUCUGUAACUGACGCUGAGGCGCGAAAGCUAGGGGAGCAAACGGGAUUAGAAACCCCGGUAGUCCUAGCCGUAAACGAUGUAGACUGGGUGUAGGUGGUGUAAAAACCAUCUGUGCCGAAGCCAACGCGAUAAGUCUACCGCCUGGGGACUACGGCCGCAAGGUUAAAACUCAAAGGAAUUGACGG
rnacentral:rRNA from 1 species